UCUGCUUCUCCCAAUACUUGUGUACUCAGCUGCUGCAAUUGCAAUUGCCUGUUGGACCAAGAGGCCACACGUACAGAACUCCAUGUUGCACUCUACAGCAGUUCCCAGCAAUGUGUGAGAAAGUCUGCCUCCCCACAUCUCAGCCAGACAGCGUUCUCUUUUGAUCUCCACCAUUCUAAGCGAGCCUGGUGAAGAAAUAUCUGGUCAGAGGGACAGCAAGAACAAAAGCUCUGCCUUCAGAAAUGAAGUCGGUGUACAGGGGAAACCGUGAGAUGGGUAUUUCGCAUAGGUGAAUGAUCUUACCACUUUAAUGGUUAGCCACUGCAACUGCAAAACGUGCUUCGAGUGCCUGCUUUGUGGAGAUGUGGAAGAGCACAAAUAGGAUAUUGCAUGUAAAGCAAUCCAGUGAUCCACACAUUCUACACAGCUGCUCAGACAGCAGCGGCUGGCAUUAUUAAACUAUCAAACCAUUCCAGCUCAGAAAGAAAUGACUUCUGCCACUUGGUUCACCAUCUGAGAAACAUUAAAUAUCAUUAACGGAUUCUGUGAACAGAAUACAAGAAUGAUCCCUUCCUUCAAGCAAGAAAUAUCACAGGAGAACUGAAAAACUUCCAGAUGAGUCUUCCCAGCCUCAGUGCAGGAAAGGAAUAUCAAGAUCGAACAAAUCCUCUAUGUCAACAACAAGGAAGAGAACGCUGACACAUCUGAAGACAACCAGAAGUGCACUUGAGUCAUCCAGUGUCUCUGCUAUUUACAGAAGAAAAUGAACUCUGCUAGAAGACUAAAUCUGAAGCAUAUAGGGAAAAGAUAAUAAUUAAGCCAGGUUUGAGUCCACUCCUAUCUGCUCCCUGAAUUGUAAUUUUGAAAAAAGAAAUUUCUCAAUAGUUUUUCAUUAUACUGAUAUUUGAAUACUCGACAGCAUCACUGGAGGAAAGCAGAGACAGAUAACCCUUGGCUGUAAGGAAUACAGUUGACAGUUUGGUUCUAUCCUUGGCAGGAUGACCCUAGCAUUUCUGUUGCAAACCAAGAUUUUUUUUUUCAAGAAUAAAUGCUACAUUACAUCACACACCAAGGCAACAGGCAUAAACUGGGACUGUUCUAGGCAAGCCUAGAUAUACACUCAUCUUAUUUUGAGAGGUCCUAGGAGAACCUACCAGAUAGGACCCUAAGACCCUGGCUUUGCUUUGUAAUACUUCUUUUUAUGGGAACAUAGAUAACUAAUUGUCUUGAUCAUUAUUCUUUACCAAGGUAUGCCACAGUAACUGUCUGCUUUUCUGAAAGCCAGAUUUUAUAGUUCACAGAAGUACUAAAAUAAACAUAAGCAGAACUUAAAACUUAAAUUCUUAGGAUUGGGGCACCUGGGUGGUGCAGUCGGUUAAGCGUCUGACUCUUGAUUUCAG